GCGUUCUGCAAGGCAUCAAGGUGGUCGUUCAAAAGAUCAUGAAACAAACGCAGAAUUAGCGAGCCAACCGCGGUAAGUCUUAGGUGCAUCAUAAAAAGGACGUACCUUAACAGAAGGCACAUUCAAAACUGCUACGGCGCGGCACCUGUUCUCCUAUAAGCCUGGCUCGCGGUGCCGGUGCGACGUCGUCUCCCUUCUAGGCAAGCCUUAGCCGUAGGAGACGAGGGGUGUACUGAACGCAGAGAGCGCCGCGCGGUCCUAAAGGUUGUUGAAGCGUGGGUAUGCGAUAAAUAAGGGGGAACGGCAGCGGCCGGCCGGCCCGGUAGGUGGUUGCGGGCGGCCUCUUCUCCGUCUUCCAGACGGCGUUAGAGCCCAUCGGUCGGCACGUAUCGAUUCCGGAGUCCUCAUUAGCUGGCAUGCGACGAUUUCCUCCCCGUUUCGUUUUUACACACAGGUCUCCCCACCUUUGGGGGGUCCGUAGAAUCUACCCGAGAUACCGCACGUCUAACAAGCAGCCGGCGGUGUCCGUGGCUCGUUUCCGCUUCGACGGGUCUGGUCGAAGUGGCUAAGCGGUUGAACACUUGUGGUUUUACCGCCACCUUGUCAGUGUGUUGUUGUAGUUUCUGACGACUAUGCUGCUGACACCGUCGUUUCCGGGAGUACGAACUUCGGGUAGGUGACAUCGUAGUGUACACUGUUCGUACGGCCACUUUGAAAACGUUUACAACAGUGGAGAGACGGGAAGUAGCAGGAACCUGACGUCUGUGGCUCCUUCUUGAACUUGCGACGGUAGAUGCGGUUGAGCGACCAACCUCAUCCUUAUCGAAGGCCGGACAUAGUAAGGAGGGCUCCUCUCUAGUCUUUUUAGGACUCUACCCGGCUGAUAUGAUACUAACGGUGGUGAUGCGACACAAAUAGGUCCCGUCAAUCCUUACUCUUGGGUCCUGAUGACUACCGUCGUAGUUGUAACGACGACGGCAAAGUCGGAAAGUACCAAAGUCGACAGGUGUGGCCUUACUACCUCCAAAGGAAGCGUUUCUCUCGUAGUCAACUUGGUCUCGAGUCUUGGCAUGUAUUGGACGUGUUCUACAGUAGAGAAAACCCUCCACGCGACAAAUAACGGCUGCUAAUGAAGGGUCUCUGGGGGAUAUAGGUACGACGUACCGUAGAACGACGACGAUAACCGUAACCGUGUACGUUAUUCGAAGAGCCCACUGUGACCUUGGUUGGGACGACGAUAGUUGCUUAUCGACUAAAGUUAAAUAGGUCUUCCUCAAUCUAAGUCGUUGAUAGUUGAACGGCUAUAUUUUUUGCCACAUGUCUUAUCCAAUGUAUCUUCUCUCUUGUCCUCGUAACAAGUUUAACUAUGGUCUUCUUACGAAAGCAUAGAGAGUCUUUCUAAAUCGUUCCUUUUACUCUGCUUGAUCCAGUCGAACACGUACAUCAAGACGAUACUAAAACGUAACCACAAAUUAAUAAUGACGCUCUCGCCCCACCCGACAGUACUGUGAGAAAGGAUGUUUUUACUUAAUUCCACCUGUCUCUUCAAAUGCGAAGUUUCUGGAGUAGUAAUGUUGAUAUUAUUAACUGCCUAGAUAUGUAUAAAGAUCGUAACAAUAAUUGAAUAAUAGACCGUUCAUGGCGUUUGUCUUCAAAUCUUGGUAAUUAUCGUUCAGUUUACAUAGUACAAGAUUGGAACUUUGUCGCUUCUACCUUUGACCACGUAUUAAGGUGUCAACGUGGUUUUCAGUUUUCUUUCACACACCGUCUGACUAGUAAAGUAGAAGAGAUCUAGACUUGAAAAAAGAUAAUGACACAGUUAUAUUUGCAGUUACGUUUGUGGACUACCAACGUUGCGGGGUUACACGAGGGAGCUCAAGACUAUUAAUGACGUAAAAUUUACACCUUGUGUUUCGGGGUUACAAAGUACACUUUAAAACACUCACUUUGAUCUGUUAAACAACUCUAGUAC
rnacentral:rRNA from 1 species